GCGGGGAGCCGAUGGCAGAUGAGAGCGGUGGCGGUGCAGCCGCGCGGAGGCAGCGGGCGGGUGCUCUGCGAGCCCGGCGAGCCGGGCAGCGCUCCGGACCCUGCGGAUCGGCGGAUCGCAGGGACAGCUGGCGUCAGGCACCGAGGAUGCAGACAAGUGCUCCUGACUAGGGGAGGGCUGGCAGGAGGAUUUCCCUUCGGGUUCACAGCAUCCCCGUGUCUGCUGUCUGCUGUUGGAAAGGCUUUGUGCUGGAGCAUGGGGAGCAGAGCUCACAGGUGACCUCCAACUGGAUCAGCCUCGCUUGCUUUAAAUGCCUGUCCCUCUCCUUAGGCUCAGGUGUUUGGUGACAGGCUGGAAAGUCAUGGUAGGUUGGUGCUGCUGGCAGCUGAGUGUGCCUUCUGCUCUGGAAAACAGGGAGGGAGGAAGGCUGGUGGACUCUGAAUAGCUUUGGGAAGAGCAAGCGGGGAUCCUCUCCACGCUGUAAGAAUAGACCCUUUGGAAAUUCAUCUGAGCAGCUGAUUUCUUGGGGUUUCUCAUCGCCUCUGAGAUCAAACCCCAUCCCCUUCUUCAUCCGAGGGCCACCACAGCCACGCUGGGUCACCUACUCAGAGGGCAGCUCCUGCACCUGCCCAGUGCCACUCGCCGUGGGGGCUCGCAGACUUGUGCCAGUGCUACCGAGGGACCUUUUCCAGCGAACGCUUUUAAUUUUUCCUCUUCCUCCUUCACUCAGCUCUGCAGCAUCACAUGAAAUACAUGUGCAGUCGCCGGCUGUCCUGAGCUGUGACCAUCGCUUGGCUCAGGGAGACAGGACUUAGCACCCUCCAGAUCUGAGGGCUGGCUGGAGCACGCUGUGGACUGUCCAAGUAACUUGUGGUGGCUGAACUCCUCCUGGCCUGCGCCGGGUCCCUCUGGCCCCGCUCUUUCCCAGUGCCGAGGGCUGGUGGAGCGCACGGGGCAGCGGGCACAGCUGGAGUGUAGCAUGCACGAGUGUGCAGAGGGACGCAGGGACACCGGCGGGAGCCAUGGCCUCGUUUGGGAAGCUGACGGAGUAUUUCAGCCUGAGGAAGUCGAGGCCGGAGCUGCGCUCCAGGCGCUGGGGCCGGCGGAGCGGGAGCUGUUGCUGUAGUGUCGCCGAGUGCAGGUACGGGGUGGCAGCGACCCGACUGUCCCGGUGCCUCCGUGUGUGCUUGGGGCAUGGCAUGUGCAAUCCUCGGUGCUUUGCUGUGUUUACCUCCCUGGGGGCUGGGAGGGGGUUGGAAGCAAGCCAAGGGCUCUGAGA
rnacentral:lncRNA from 1 species